CACAAAAGAGCCUUAAAAGCCUUGCCACCUCACCCUAGACGCAAAGAAGUUCGGCCCCGCCCUUUUGACACCAUGUUUCGAUGUCUUAUACCAAAGUCCUCUGGUACUGGUCUUACUGAGGAUCAGAUCAAGGGAAUUUUCAAGCGAUAUGACGCCAAUCGUGAUGGUUUCCUUAACAGGGAAGAGAUAAGGAAUGCAUUUGCAGCCCUCGGCUCUAUAGGGCCAGGCUUUCGAGCUAAACGCGGGUUGCACCAUGCCGAUGCCAAUGGAGAUGGACUCAUUGACGAGGAGGAGCUGAAGACUCUGGUCGAAUAUGGAAAGAAAAUUGGAUACACCAUUAAGUAGAAAACCAAGUUCAUAAAGUACGAUGCUGAACCAAGAAGAAGCAAGCUGUCCGACGGCAAUAUUUAAGCUAAAUUAAUAAUAUUGUAUGUGUCUUAGAGAUGUACGCUCGCUUUCUUUCCAGUCCUUGUAUGCACGUUCUAGGCCCUUCCUCGUAGUCUUGAUCUAUCUUAUAUCCCAAUGGAAAUAACAAGUAUUAAUUAAUACA